AAGCCUUUCUAAAUAACGACUACUCUGUUCCGCUGAACUUCUCUGGGUCGGGAGAGACUGAUGAGCAGCAGACAUCCAAUCUAACCAUAUCUAACCCCCCCAGGCUAUCUCAGCACUGCUCUGGGGUUGUGGAGGUGCUCCAUCAGGGGCUGUGGAGGCCGGUGACCUUUGACCUUGGGUCUGCAGAGUGGGCCAAAGUGGCGGAGGACAUAUGUGCCAACCUGAGCUGCGGGGCAGUGUAUGAGCUCCGACAAAAUGGCACAGCUACUUUAAACUACUCCAGCUCAACGUGUCUGAGCCAGUGUGUGUACAGAGACCUACUGGUGGAGAACUGUACAGUGCUCUCACACACGGACUGCUCUAACCAGACUGAAAUAACCUGUGGGCACCAGGCCGUGCGAUUGGCUGGAGGCACACACCACUGUGAGGGACGGGUGGAGUUGUGGAGACAGGAAAAAUGAGGGAACGGUGUGUGACGAUAGUUGGAACCUGAGCGAUGGGGGUGUGGUCUGUGCUCAAUUGGGCUGUGGCUCUGCCCUAAAUGUGAGCGGGCAGGGCGGGUCCUUUGGAGCUGGUGUUGGUCUGGUUCUAUUAGAUGAGGUGAACUGUGGGGGGAGCGAGAGGAACCUAUGGGAGUGUCCCUCCCUGGGGACAGCCAAUGACUGUGGACACAAAGAGGACGCUGCAGUGGUUUGUUCAGGAAUUCCAUCUCAGUCAGGCAACGAGACGGCAGAACAGAACACACAGACUUCAACCGAAGCAGGCUCAGUUCUACUAGUCACCAGUGCAGAGAGCUGGUCCUCUCCUCCCACAGCUACUGUCUGGGGCUGCAUCGCAUUGUCUAUAGCCCUCCUCCUCCUCACACUCCUCUCCAAUGUUUUACUCUUCCUGUCUUACAGGAGGAGAGCUGGUGAGUCAUAGUUUUUUUCUCUCUUUUUCUUUCUCUUUCAUUGCCUCAGACUCAACUGUCACUCUCCCCAUUUGUUCACACAAACAACA